CCCGGGGUCUGACCGCGGCUCGGACGCCCAGCCGCGCACCGCCCUCUUCCUCCGGAGCCUUCGCCGCGGAGCCUCGGUCGCUCCCGAGCCGCACCUCCUCCUCCUCCUCCUCCGCCUCCUCUUCCUCCACGCUGCCGUCGAGAGGCCGCGCCACUUCCCGGGGUGCACACGGACUGGGGUGCGGGCCUGGGCCUGCGGCGCGGCGGCGGGGAGCAAGCGGGUGGUUGUGUGGACGGCCUGGGAGCGCGACGGCGUCCUCGCCAGUGGGCCUCGGUCCACCUGAUCUUCCCCACUUCACCAGCCAUUUCUUUGUCUCCUUUUGGACUUCUCUUCCCCAGUUGCUGAAGGCCCCAGGGAUCAGCUUGAAGGCAGGACACCAUCCUUGUAUCCCUAAGAGCGAGCAUGGAACUGGCCACCCAGGAGGCAUUGGGUCACAAGAAGAUAGCAAAUGACAGGUGAGACAGAGCCCAUCUGGUGACUUUGGCCUUCAUCACUCUGGAAAUGCUGAUGCUGUCUCAGAAACAACGGAAGAGCAGCAGGCUGGGAAUAGGAAACAUCUCUGAAGGAAUGGAAGCUGGAGGACGAGUGAGGCUCGGCCAGAGUAAAUGCUGUUAAGUCCUUCCCCUUGGCUCGCUCCACACUAGGGUGCCUCUGGUCGUCCUUCAGUGAGAGGCUGCCUCGACCACCCCCACCCUUGCCUCUGGGGUUGUGCUGUAGCUGGAUCCCUGCCUUGGAACCAAUGUGUCCAACAGCCUCAGCACAUCUGUGGAGCUAAUGUCAAACCAGACCACAGUUUGUCCUCUGGAAAGGAAGGGGAACUACACCGUGUGUCUGGGUCUCUCUUCUUACCUGGAGGCUCUUUCACACUUUUCUGCACUCAGGCUGGCUUUCCUGAUGUGAUCCCCACUGCCACCUCCUCAACCCUGCUCUGCUGUGCCAGGCUCAUCCCUUUCUUGUCACCCUAGGUUCAGCUGGGGACCCACCCUUCCUUUUCACAUCCCUUGCAUCGCCCCCUGAACACAUUCAUCACUUACAUCUUCCCUUUCUUUAACUUUCUUUCUCUUCAAAUGAUAAAACCACCUUCCCAAUCAAAGAUUUAUUGUGCUGGGAACCCUCCCCAGCUCCCCACGGUGGUGACAUUAGACAAAGGCUGGUCACAUGUGGGAAACUGGAGAAGGAAGUGGCUCAGAUGUACCCCAGAGCUACAAGAAGCAGAACCAGCAGCCUGUGGCAGAGGAUCCUCCCUGAGUGGCUGGCCCUCUGUGGUGACACAAAAUGCCCAUUUAGCUCCUAUCUUGGGAGGAAAUGAGGGUCCUUAUUGAGACUUGCAUUUGUCAGUUCACCAGUUGCUGGGCCAAAUUGUCAAAGCUCUCAGGCAUCCAGGGAGAAGGGAGGGUCCUGGGUCAGAGCCUGAGCUGGGGUUGCUCUUACCUCAUCAGCUGCCACUCGCCAGGACGUGUUCUUGCUACUCUGGGAUAUGGAAGCCUCCAGAAAGGAAACUGAGCUUACAAAGUGGAAAGUGUGCAAAGAAACUUUUAAACAUCCCACUAGAACCUCUCUCGCUCCCCACUUUGGGGACCCCACCAAAACCCAGCUUCCAGGGUGUGCAAACAGAACUUUCAGCCAUAGAAAGCCUCCAGGAUACAUGAGUUGAGCCAAGCAGAUUCAAAUAUAGGUGAGUGUGCUUCCCUAGAAUGGCCUUGUCCUCUUCCCCUGACCAAUAUGUCCUGGGUGAAGAGGAAGAAUGCAGCAAAAGGAACAAGCUUUCCCCUGGCAUUUUAGCAAGAUGCUUAGAAAAAAAAUACAUGCUCUGGCCACUGAAAAUCCUGGGUCCUGAUCCUAUCCCUGCCACUAACUUUGGGUACAUCCUUAAUUUCUCUGAGCCUCCACUUUCUUUCUCAAUUGCAAAAUAAGGAUUAUAAUUUCUUUUACAUACGAUGUAAAAAGCUAAAUGAAAUCGUUUACGCACAGUUCCUGACAUUUAUUAACAUUACUAACCUGCCUGGAGAUACAGCUUCUAAAUAACUUCUCAUUUCUCAUUUUCAGAAAUUCUCUCCUCUCUGCUCUCAGCUACCUUUCUCCUCUCCUAUCAUUUCCUUCCCCAGUAUCUGGAAGGUCUCCUAUGUCCCUGCUAUUCAAAGGUCCAGCACAAGCAGCAUCACCUAGGACCUUGUUAGGAAUGCAGAAUCUCAGGCCAUAUCCCAGACCCUCUGAAUCUGAAUCUGCAUUUUAAUAAGAUACCCAACUUUUCCUCUAUACAUAUUAAAGUUUGAGAAGCACUUGCACUAAGUCACCCCAUGCUUCUUUAAUUUACAACAUAAAUCAUAGUGGGUUUCAAUAAUUUAUACCACUAACAGGAGUUUCCCCCCAGUAAAUUGCAUACUACAUACUAAAAUCUCCUUAACUGUGACACUUGAGUAACAAUAAAUCAUAAUAUUAAUAAAAAUAAUACCAUAAUCUAAUGUGUUUAAUGUUUUGGU